rnacentral:tRNA from 1 species
CGGGGUGUAGCGAAGCUUGGUUAUCGCGCCUGGUUUGGGACCAGGAGACCGCAAGUUCGAAUCUUGCCACCCCGA